rnacentral:rRNA from 1 species
UACGUAGGGCGCAAGCGUUGUCCGGAAUUAUUGGGCGUAAAGAGCUCGUAGGCGGUCUGUCGCGUCGAAUGUGAAAACCCGGGGCUCAACCCCGGGCCUGCAUUCGAUACGGGCAGACUAGAGUUCGGUAGGGGAGUCUGGAAUUCCUGGUGUAGCGGUGAAAUGCGCAGAUAUCAGGAGGAACACCGGUGGCGAAGGCGGGACUCUGGGCCGAUACUGACGCUGAGGAGCGAAAGCGUGGGGAGCGAACAGG